rnacentral:rRNA from 1 species
UAUAUGACUCUCGGCAAUGGAUAUCUCGGCUCUCGCAUCGAUGAAGAGCGCAGCGAAAUGCGAUACGUGGUGCGAAUUGCAGAAUCCCGCGAACCAUCGAGUCUUUGAACGCAAGUUGCGCCCGAGGCCAACCGGCUGAGGGCACGUCUGCCUGGGCGUCAAGC